GACGAACGCUGGCGGCGUGCUUAACACAUGCGAGUCGAACGGAAAGGCCCUGCUUUUGUGGGGUGCUCGAGUGGCGAACGGGCGAGUAACACGUGAGUAACCUGCCCUUGACUUUGGGAUAACUUCAGGAAGCUGGGGCUAAUACCGGAUAGGAGCUCCUGCUGCAUGGUGGGGGUUGGAAAGUUUCGGCGGUUGGGGAUGGACUCGCGGCUUAUCAGCUUGUUGGUGGGGUAGUGGCUUACCAAGGCUUUGACGGGUAGCCGGCCUGAGAGGGUGACCGGCCACAUUGGGACUGGGAUACGGCCCGGACUCCUACGGGAGGCAGCAGUGGGGAAUAUUGCACAAUGGGCGGAAGCCUGAUGCAGCAACGCCGCGUGCGGGAUGACGGCCUUCGGGUUGUAAACCGCUUUCGCCUGUGACGAAGCGUGAGUGACGGUAAUGGGUAAAGAAGCACCGGCUAACUACGU
rnacentral:rRNA from 1 species